rfam:Ipomoea nil DNA, scaffold: scaffold1407, cultivar: Tokyo-kokei standard.
GAGCAAGUGCGUCUGAUUUAAAAUGGCGAAAUCUCUUGCAUUGAAGGUUGGCAAAAUCAUGUUGCGAUUCUCCGUGCCUUUCAAAUUUCAUCGUUUUGAUUACGGCCUCGAACAAGUCGCUACAUU